CAACAAAGCUCCGACCUCGUUUGUUUAAUUACAUACGGGGGAAGGGCGCAUUUAUUAGACCAAAAACCGGGUGGAUCCAAGCGUUGAGGCGUUUAUGACGUCUCUUCGAAAAAUCCUCCAAUACGGUUAUGUGGUGACUCUGGAUAACUACCGCCGAGCGCUGAGGUCUUAGUACCGGCGCCGUAUCCUUCGAGUGUCUGCCUUAUCAGCUCUCGAUUGUAGGUUAUUCGCCUACAAUGGCUGUAACGGGUAACGGGGAAUCAGGGUUCGAUUCCGGAGAGGGAGCCUGAGAAACGGCUACCACAUCUAAGGAAGGCAGCAGGCACGCAAAUUACCCAAUCCCGGCACGGGGAGGUAGUGACUAAAUAUAACGAUAUGGGACUCUUCCGAGGCCUCAUAAUCGGAAUGAGUCUAAUUUAAAAACUUGGACGAGGAUCCAUUGGAGGGCAAGUCUGGUGCCAGCAGC
rnacentral:rRNA from 1 species